AUAACGUGGUCGCUAUUUUAUGACCUGUGUUACGAGCUCGGUCUAGAAACGCAUAAUGAGGAAGCACAAGAUAAGGAAUAGGCAAACUGAACACCGGUGCAUGGUAUUUCGGCAAGUUUUUAAGAAAACAUAAUGUAUUAAGAAUUAGAACCUAGGAAAAGGAUUUUCCAUGAAUAUAAAUUAUCAGGUAACUAAGAGAGAUGCAACUGGGAUAACCGUAAGGAUGAAGUAUAUUUGAGCUCAAAGAUAAACUGUAGUUGACAGCUAACUAGGUUUUGGUUACUUAUAAUAUAACCAAAGAUAAGAAAUAUAGAGACCACAAUGUUUUAAGGAAGAAUAAACUAAUAAGUUAUUAUUUCU